CGGGCGCCAGCACCGUGUAGGCUGGAUUGAAAAGGUUAGCCUACACUGGUUUAGAACUCACAUGCUUCUAGCCUCUACCACCACUUGCUGAGAUUCAAGACUUCUUGAACAGCCACUACCAUAAAUGCUCUGGUCCAUCUCGUACGUGUUCCCGUGUUGCAGGCGGCUGUUGGGCAACGUGUGUCGUGUUUUUCAAGCAAUACCUACUGGGUCAGUCGCCAGAACUGCAAAAGAUAGGACCAUCUCUGCCAUAGUCAGUCAAGACACUCUAAGAAGACCGAAAACAGUUUUGCAUGUGAAUUAAACAAGCCACCAACUCAAAAAUGGUGGCGGGGAUCAGAAGUUCAAGGUCAUUCCCAACUUUAUAGUGAGCUGAUGCCAAACUGGGCAAUGAGACCAUGUCUCAAUUAAAUAAGCAAACAAUCAAAUCAGCUAUUUGUGAACAUUUAAAUAUUAUUAUUAUUAUUAUUACAUGUGUUUUGGGGGUGGGCAUAGGUAGCCUUAGGCAAUGGUCUCGGGUCCCCACUUGGUGGUAUUUCUGUGAGGAACAUAAGCUAGUACAUUUCACUUUAGUGCAGAGUGAAAAUACUUCUAGGUGUUGAGUUACUGAAGAUUGACUUGAUUUGUAAAAGCAAGCCCAUAUUAAUAUGAAAAAGGUGAUUUAUGUAUUAUGACCAGAAGAGAAGGGUAUAAAAGUUACUUUUAUUCACCUGAUGUAAUUUGUUGUCUAGAAGCUUACUGCCUUUGUCUGCUAGGCCUAGUCCUACAAGCCCUAGCCUCCGUACAAUCUAAUCUAGACCUAAAAUGCUUUCCGCCUCUGAGACUUGAUGUUGAACAUGAUCACCUUUUCCGAGCUCUUUCUGAUCUCUGGCUGGCUGGUUCAACUCAGCUGUUCUGGCUCAAACUACUGUCCUAGCUGACUGAUCCAAUCUCACUUCUCUCAGUUUCUCCUGAGUUGCUUUGCUUCGUCUCAUAUUCUUUGGCUAUAUGUUCUAAUCUUUCUUCUCAUUCUCUAGCUUCUGUCUUUCACCUGUGUCUAACAUGUUCCCACUCUAUAACCUGUCUCUCUAAAACUGUCCCAGUAAAACUGCCUCCUUCCUUUUUCUCUCUGUGCUGCUCUCUCUUAAGUAAAGCUGGGCAUAUCUUCUUCUGCCCAAUAUUUCUUUAAUUCAUCACUUUGUCUGCCACUCAAUUAGACAUCACUUUUCAGGCAUAGGGUACUUUUUUCUGCAAACUACCACUAUCUUCAUUGUUCAGGAUUAAAGGUAUACACUAAGGGCUGAGCCACACCACAACUAGAAACAGUUUUGGGGGGGUUGUUGUUAUUGUUUUGUUCUGUUUUAUAACUAAAACAAUCUCAGGGUUCAAAAUGUGAUCAAAUAUCCUGCAACAGAAGGUGAAUAUACAUGCUUUAAAAAAUUAGCCCUGGGGCCUAGAAAGAUGGCUCAGCCAUCAAGAGCAUGUACCUCUCUCUUACAGAGGACUUAAGUAGUCCAGUUUCCUCCACAUAUUCAUCCAAUUAAAAAUGAAGAUAAAAUAAAUCUUAAAAGAAGAAAGGGUGGAGCUCUUGUCUCUAGCUGCAUAUGUAUCAAAAGAUGGCCUAGUCGGCGUCUGCUGUGAAAGAGAAUAUGAAUGUGAAAAGAUAAUUACUGCAUGGUAUUAGAAGUGCCAUCCUGAAAGGAUGUCUCCGACAGCACAAAAGAGGGAGUGACGACUGCUGCCGAAGUGGGAGAAGGUUUUCUAUGAAGGAGGGAAGAUGACCAGGACUGAAAACAGAGCAUGCUUUGUAUCAGAGCUUCUCAGACUAUAGACUACCCUAGAAACAUCUGGGAGCCCUGUUUCAAGACAAAGCUUCAUUCCAUAGAUCUACAAUGACCUGACAUGGCUUCUGACAGAACAAGCUCCUGGCAAUACCAGUGCCUGACUAAGGAAGCUUAAAGCUUUGGAACACACCAGAAGGCUUAAGGCUAACACUGACUGAAGAGGAGGACCUGUUGUAUUGAUUCAGUUUGAUCUCUGGAGCAGCUAGAAGCAAAGAACAAAGCCUUGACCAUCAGGUAUAGAAUAUAAUUCCUCAAUUACUUGAAAAUUCUUCAAUCAUAUCGUGCAUAAAUAUGACAAAAAGAAGGUGAGGAUCAGGCCCAGGGCAUAUUCAGAACUGAAUACUUCUUAGUCCUUGGAAUGCCCCAUCCAGAGAGAGCAGAGACAACUCAGCAGCUGAAGAGAAGAGCAGUAUUCUGCUCCUAGGCUUGUUCAUGAAGCCUAUCAUCCAUCCUGCUCCCUGCAUAUCAGGCUCAACCACCAAACCAUGCUGUUUUAGAAUCUGGACAGAUGCCACAAUGUGUGUACUCAAGAGGAACACAAGUGAGAUACUGUCCAUGGUGAUUGACUUGUCUUGAUGAACUGUUCUGUGUAGGCUUUUGUUUCUCCAUCUAUAAGAUAGAUGGUUUUAAAGGACUGGUUCUUCUAGCUCUCACCUUACAGAAAAACUAUUAAAGGAAAUCAAGAAUGCAGGCAUGGGCAAUGUUCGGUAUUCUUAGCCACUGAGAUUACAUUUUAAUCUAGUAAGCAUGGUUAUCACCAAGAAAAAAAAACCUACAGUCAAUGCUGACAAGGAGUUGAGGAAAGAGGAACCCUUGUUCACUGUUGGUGGCAAUGUGGUCUGGUGAAGUUUUUAUGGAAAUCAAUGUAUAGGGUCCUCAAAAACUCAAACGAGUAUUACCAUAUGGCUAGGUGAUAGCAUUCCUGUGCAAAUAUCCAAAGGCAUCUGAGUUAAUAUACCACAGAGCCAUUUGUGUACCUAUUUAUUGCUGUUCUCUUUACAAAAGCCAAAAUAUUGAAGGAAUCACCCUUGAUGUCUAUUAGCAGAUGACUUGCUAGUAAAAAUAUGGUAAUAUGGUGCAUAUAUACAAUGGAAUGCAAUUUAUCCAUAAAGAAAAGUGGAAUUAUGUCACUUGUAAGAAAUGAAUAUAAUUUAGGACCAUCAAAAGAAAAUAAAGCUGAAUCAGAACAGAGCUGUUUUAAGCCUGUUCUCACCUGAUCAGCAACUGAACAGGCCCAUUGUAACUGCAAGGACAUCAUCUUCCCUGCUAUGAUGGGCUGUGUCCCCUGAACUGUGAACCAGAAUAAAUAUUUCCUCCUAAAUUGCUUCUUGGAAAUUCACACAAUAGAAAAAGUGACUACCACAGUCUUCCUCAGUACCCCAGAGUGGCCUGGAACCAGGCACCUCCAUCAGCUCCAAGUGCCAGGAACUGAGUUUUGGAUAAUCACAGUGGCCACUAGAAUGAUGAUGCACUGUCCUCAUGGUGAAAAGGGCAAGGAACAAUGCCAUAUGUGGUGAUAUACACCUAGACCAGUACUCAGGAGGCAGAGCCAAGAAGAUCUGAAAUUGGAGGCUAACCUCAAGUAGGAGGUGGAAGGAGAAGGAAGAGGAGGGGAAGGAGGAGGAGGAGGAGGAAGAGAAGAAGAAGAAAAAUAAGAAGGAGGAGAAAAGAAGGAGGAAAGAAAAAAGGAAUAAUUAAAGAAAAUAAAAGCAUGAAACAGAUACUUCUGGGAGCUUCUGGUGGGCCACCCUUGCUGUCUAGGCUGGCUUCAGAUUUCUGACCUCUGGAACUGUUCCAAAAGACGUCAACUGGGAAGUUCACACUUCGUCAUUUUCAUUGUGUGAACAGCCACAUAUUCAGGUCACCACAUGCAGACAGCCUCGAACUCUGUCAUGGCACCUGGAUGCUGGUGGAGCAUGGCAUGUUGCAUCACAUGCCCUUUCGUUAGGAGGUUGUAAGAAGAAAAGGGUGCUGAUCAGACAUGGAGUACAUGUUGGGGACCCAGCUCUCAAUGUGUCCAGAGGAUGAUGAGGACUCUUGAGGAACUGGGAGCACUGACCUACUCACACAGCUGGGACUCAAAAAAGCAGAGGGUGAGAAAACGGAGGCACUGCUGGUCCCAGGUCACAGUACAGCAAGGGAGGAACCAACUUGAAUCCCAUCCAGUGGCCCUUCCCAGACCUGAUCCAGCAGGCACUGAGGUCUCACACAAGAAGGAAGCUGCUUUUGGUGGUGAUAUGAGAAGCAGGAACCAGAUGUGAAUAGAUGCAGGCUCCAGGCAGCAGAGCGUCAACCAGAGUGCACCCCUCCCUUGGCUCCAUGAUGCAUCAUCAUCUGUGACCCUAGAAUAUCAUGAUGCCUACAUGUCUCAUUUAUAAAAUCACCCUCAUGACAGUGGGGGGGAAGGAAAGCAAGGCUGGAUACAUGACAGUGACUAUGUAGCAUGUAUGCCUCCCUGAGCCCAGCUUGCCAGGCGGGUGUGAGCAGUACUGGGCUCUGAUGAUCAAGCCCACAGGCCCGGGUCUGGGAGGCAACACAGGAACUAAAUUCCUACUCCCAUCUCUUGGGCUCUAAAUAAAGUCAUUGCCAUAUUGCAGCUGUGGGGCAUCCUAAAUGGACUGGAGCUCCAUCCCUAGUCUAAUUUCAAGGUCUUGAGAGUGGGCAUAAAGAGCAAGACUGGAGUAAGGAGGAGACAAGGCUAGAACUGAUAGGUUAAAGGAGACUCCGAAUGCCAGCUUGCCUAUAAACAUAAUUCCCAAUGGCAGGAGGUGUGGCUUAGUGGUAGAGCUCUGCCUAGCGUGUCCAAGCUCCAGCACCACCCAGGUGACAGAUAUACAAACAAAUCAACUACCACUAUAAAAAGCAAGACCUUACCCAUGUUACUUUUUUCUCCUGUGUAUUGGUGGUAAUAAACACAU
rnacentral:lncRNA from 1 species